GAGAGAAGUAACCAUCCCAAAAAUUACAAAAACCCCUCCUCCUUCGUUUCCAGCGGGAAAAUGAAAUCCCAAAAAAUUUGAAAACCUCGCCUGCACUUUGUUUAUCCCAAAUUCAUCGGUUCAAAAAGGUUGUGAGAGAAUCUUGCCUUCGUCUGUGGUUCGCCUUGCACUACUACUUCACCAUAAUCUUCCCUGCGCCGAUCUACUUCGCUUUAGCUCACCCAUCAUCCAUAGGCUACAAGGGAAGUUGUGGAAGAAGUUAAGAAAGAAAAGAUAAGGUUACUGAUGCUCUUCACGCUACAAGGACAAAUGUGGAAGAAGGAAUUGUUCUAGGGAUUAUGGGAGUUGCACUCGCAGGUAAUUAUUCGCUAGAUGGACCAACAAGAAGAGAUUUUAUGCAAAGUUCAUCCAGAAUCAAGUUUUGUAUUAUUUUCCCAACAAGUACUUAAUUUGAAAGUUUUACGUUUCAAGUGAUUACCAGUGCAAUGUUAGACUAGUGCAAUGUCACACUUAUUAAGCCUUUUGGAAGAUGUUUUUGUAUCAGAUGUUAAGAAAAUUGUUGUAUGUCAAGUUAAGUUUUAAUUUAAGUACUUUUUUGGGUUUUUA